rnacentral:rRNA from 1 species
GAUGGACGCUGGCGGCGUGCCUAAUACAUGCAAGUCGAGCGAACGGACGAGAAGCUUGCUUCUCUGAUGUUAGCGGCGGACGGGUGAGUAACACGUGGAUAACCUACCUAUAAGACUGGGAUAACUUCGGGAAACCGGAGCUAAUACCGGAUAAUAUUUUGAACCGCAUGGUUCAAAAGUGAAAGACGGUCUUGCUGUCACUUAUAGAUGGAUCCGCGCUGCAUUAGCUAGUUGGUAAGGUAACGGCUUACCAAGGCAACGAUGCAUAGCCGACCUGAGAGGGUGAUCGGCCACACUGGAACUGAGACACGGUCCCGACUCCUACGGGAGGCAGCAGUAGGGAAUCUUCCGCAAUGGGCGAAAGCCUGACGGAGCAACGCCGCGUGAGUGAUGAAGGUCUUCGGAUCGUAAAACUCUGUUAUUAGGGAAGAACAUAUGUGUAAGUAACUGUGCACAUCUUGACGGUACCUAAUCAGAAAGCCACGGCUAACUACGUG